CUACGUAGGGGGCAAGCGUUAUCCGGAAUUACUGGGCGUAAAGCGUGCGCAGGCGGUUUUGGAAGACAGAGGGGCAACACCCGGGCUUAACCUGGGAACUUCCUUUGUGACUGCAAGGCGAGAGUACGGCAGAGGGGGAUGGAAUUCCGCGUGUAGCAGGGAAAUGCGUAGAUAUGCGGAGGAACACCGAUGGCGAAGGCAAUCCCCUGGGCCUGUACUGACGCUCAUGCACGAAAGCGUGGGGAGCAAACAGGAUUAGAUACCCUGGUAGUCCACGCCCUAAACGAUGUCAACUGGUUGUUGGGUCUUCAUUGACUCAGUAACGAAGCUAACGCGUGAAGUUGACCGCCUGGGGAGUACGGCCGCAAGGUUGAAACUCAAAUGAAUUGACGGGG
rnacentral:rRNA from 1 species